AAUUAAAACUUAUUUUUGUAUUUGUAAGUUUUAAUUUCUUCCAUGAGAACAAGUGAAACAAACUCACCUGUGCAUGUCUGUCUGUGCCUAGGCACGCAUACAGGCAUGUGUGCAGCUAUUUGCCUGACCAGUUCUCCCAUGCCACCCUAGAAUGUACCACCUCUUAGGUCUCAUAUCCGGUUUUGUGGUUAUGGUGUAACUAGCAGGUAAAAUGGAACUUUAAAAGUUAGAUUUUUUUCUUUUAGAGGUAAGUAGCUUCUCCAAACUUUUCCUUACUGAACACAUAACCAAUGUUCCCUCUUUUCCCCUGUCCCAAAGAAAUGACAGACUAUACACAGGCUGGCUCGAGGAGGCUGGGACCCAGUUUCCCUCCCACAAGAAAGGAGCGAAUGAACUGAAAAUGGCUGGAAGGAUACAGCAGACAGAGUAUCUCCAUGUAGUCCAGGUUGGCUGCCAACUUGUGGACUUCCAACCUCCAGAACAGUGAAAAUAAAUGCUUCUACAUCCAUCCAGUGAUUGUCACCUGAGGCAACAAAAACCAUGACCCACCUGGUGUAAGGUAGGAAAAUGAAUCCUAUACCCUCCCUUAGGCUGCAGCAGUUAAAUUCUUUUUGUUUUGUGUAGUGGAAUUGAGCCAGAGACCUCACCCUACCACUGAGCUCUAUCCCCAGCCUCUUUUCUAUUUUAAUCAGAGAGAGGUUGUCAUUGAUUUGUCUUGAACUUGGAUCUCCCUACUUUAUCCUCCAGAGUAGCUGGAAUGACAGGAGUAUCCUACUGGGCAGGCCUGUGAUUUCACUAUUAAUAGCUUUGCAUAAUAUUUUUGUUCUUCAUCUCUGUUAUUUAUGGAAAGUAACAAAGAUUAGGGAAGGAAACAGUAUUUUU
rnacentral:lncRNA from 1 species